rnacentral:rRNA from 1 species
UUGAACGCUGGCGGCAUGCCUUACACAUGCAAGUCGCACGGCAGCACGGGUGCUUGCACCUGGUGGCGAGUGGCGAACGGGUGAGUAAUACAUCGGAACAUGUCCUGUAGUGGGGGAUAGCCCGGCGAAAGCCGGAUUAAUACCGCAUACGAUCCACGGAUGAAAGCGGGGGACCUUCGGGCCUCGCGCUAUAGGGUUGGCCGAUGGCUGAUUAGCUAGUUGGUGGGGUAAAGGCCUACCAAGGCGACGAUCAGUAGCUGGUCUGAGAGGACGACCAGCCACACUGGGACUGAGACACGGCCCAGACUCCUACGGGAGGCAGCAGUGGGGAAUUUUGGACAAUGGGCGAAAGCCUGAUCCAGCAAUGCCGCGUGUGUGAAGAAGGCCUUCGGGUUGUAAAGCACUUUUGUCCGGAAAGAAAUCCUUGACUCUAAUACAGUCGGGGGAUGACGGUACCGGAAGAAUAAGCACCGGCUAACUACGUG